GACGAACCGUGCGAACGUUAUUCGGAAUCACCGGGCUUAAAGCGCGUGUAGGCGGGACGGCACGUCGGUCGCUGAAAUCCCCCGGCUUAACCGGGGAACUGGCGUCGAUACGACCGCCCUGGAGGGGCGUAGGGGGACCUGGAACUUCCGGUGGAGCGGUGAAAUGCGUUGAGAUCGGAAGGAACGCCCGUGGCGAAAGCGAGGUCCUGGACGCCUACUGACGCUGAGACGCGAAAGCCAGGGGAGCGAACGGG
rnacentral:rRNA from 1 species